ACGGAGGGUGCAAGCGUUGUCCGGAAUCAUUGGGCGUAAAGAGUUCGUAGGUGGUAUGUUAAGUCUGGUGUUAAAGCCCGAAGCUCAACUUCGGUUCGGCACUGGAUACUGGCAAACUUGAAUGUGGUAGAGGUAAAGGGAAUUCCUGGUGUAGCGGUGUAAUGCGUAGAUAUCAGGAGGAAGAUCGGUAACGAGAGGGCUUUACUGGGCCAUUAUUGACACUGAGUACCGAGAGCCGGUGUAGGAAAUGG
rnacentral:rRNA from 1 species